rnacentral:tRNA from 1 species
GGUGACGUAGCUCAGUUGGUAGAGCAAAGGACUGAAAAUCCUUGUGUCGGGGUUCAAUUCCCUCCGUCACCA